rnacentral:hammerhead_ribozyme from 1 species
AGCCGAAACACUCUGUAUAAGUGUCCAUAGUAAAUUGUGUUACUGUGCUGAUGAUGGCAGCAAUAA